rnacentral:rRNA from 1 species
AGUGAACGCUGGCGGUAGGCCUAACACAUGCAAGUCGAACGGCAGCACAGUAAGAGCUUGCUCUUACGGGUGGCGAGUGGCGGACGGGUGAGGAAUACAUCGUAAUCUACUUUUUCGUGGGGGAUAACGUAGGGAAACUUACGCUAAUACCGCAUACGACCUACGGGUGAAAGCAGGGGAUCUUCUGACCUUGCGCGAUUGAAUGAGCCGAUGUCGGAUUAGCUAGUUGGCGGGGUAAAGGCCCACCAAGGCGACGAUCCGUAGCUGGUCUGAGAGGAUGAUCAGCCACACUGGAACUGAGACACGGUCCAGACUCCUACGGGAGGCAGCAGUGGGGAAUAUUGGACAAUGGGCGCAAGCCUGAUCCAGCCAUACCGCGUGGGUGAAGAAGGCCUUCGGGUUGUAAAGCCCUUUUGUUGGGAAAGAAAAGCAGCAGGUUAAUACCCCGCUGUUCUGACGGUACCCAAAGAAUAAGCACCGGCUAACUUCGUG